rnacentral:rRNA from 1 species
GAGGAAUAUUGGUCAAUGGGCGCGAGCCUGAACCAGCCAAGUAGCGUGCAGGAUGACGGCCCUAUGGGUUGUAAACUGCUUUUGUAUGGGGAUAAAGUCAAUCACGUGUGAUUGUUUGCAGGUACCAUACGAAUAAGGACCGGCUAAUUCCGUGCCAGCAGCCGCGGUAAUACGGAAGGUCCGGGCGUUAUCCGGAUUUAUUGGGUUUAAAGGGAGCGUAGGCCGGAGAUUAAGUGUGUUGUGAGAUGUAGACGCUCAACGUCUGACUUGCAGCGCAUACUGGUUUUCUUGAGUACGCACAACGUUGGCGGAAUUCGUCGUGUAGCGGUGAAAUGCUUAGAUAUGACGAAGAACUCCGAUUGCGAAGGCAGCUGACGGGAGCGCAACUGACGCUUAAGCUCGAAGGUGCGGGUAUCGAACAGGAUUAGAUACCCUGGUAGUCCGCACAGUAAACGAUGGAUGCCCGCUGUUGGUACCUGGUAUCAGCGGCUAAGCGAAAGCAUUAAGCAUCCCACCUGGGGAGUACGCCGGCAACGGUG